rnacentral:lncRNA from 1 species
AAACACCAGGAACAUCAGAGGAGUAAACAAAAAGAGGACUGGUAGGGUCAACAGGAGUUGUAUUAGCACUCAUGUUAGCAGCCAUGAACAACAAUGAGUUCAAAAUCAGAAGAUAGUCUCUGUAGUCAGUUUGAAAAACUAAAGUUGUAUCAAAAACCUCAUGCAAAUCAUAUAGCACCUAAAACAGGAACAGAUUUGCCCUUCUUCUUCGCGACUGGAGAAGAACGACCUUCGAUUAACAGAAAAAAUGCCAGUUCCGAGCAGCAGAAACCCUAAAAUCUGAAGUCUCACCGGAAUCGAGUCGAGGACAUCGGAAAACCAACCCAAAACGUCCAAGAAGUGAAGAUGUAACCAGUUAAUGGCGAUAGAGGUCUCAUAUUAACACUCGAUUCUCAUAGAAAUCAUCACUGACCAAAUAUCUCACACAUACUCGAAAACUUUCCAACGCGAUUUCGACUGGGAUAACAAGAUAUAGCAGAAAAUCGUCGGAUCAUCGUCUGCUCUGAUACCAUGAAAACAUAGAAGAAUCAAGAUGAAGAUUGAAGAAGAUGAGUCGGUUGAGAGAAGCUUCUAGAGAGCUUCAAAAGAAAACCUUCAAUAUCAAAAUAUCCGACUGACCCUAUGCAGAAGGGCCAGGUGCGUAUAUAACCAAACUGAGCCAACUCGGGCCAAAUAUAAAACAAAAGAAAAUUGGCCCAGAU